AGCAAGGAUACUACGUGUGGGCCACACAGUGCAAGAAAACUUAAAUGUUGSUAAUUCAGACCCCACAGUCCAAAUCCACAUUACGGAUUUACCAGAUGGCAUGGAUGAUGCCCCUGUCCAUGGAAAUUGUAUGUCGGCCCAGUCAUGAUUGAUGAUUUAAGAGAAGUUGUAAGUGACCACUUUGUUUUACGACACGGAUCAAAUCUCCAGCUGCGGUUCAUGUCCACCCAUGUA